UGCGGGAGCAACUGCCUGCAAGCGAACAGGCUCGAGCUUGCACUACCUUAACCUUACAGCUGGAGUGCGCGAGCCACUGCCUGCACGCGAGCAGGCUUGAACCUGCACUACCACCUUACAGCUGGAGUGCGGGAGCAACUGCCUGCAAGCGAACAGGCUCGAGCAUGCACUACCACCUUACAGCUGGAGUGCGGGCGCCACUGGCCGCCCAUUAUGCAUAAACCAAGCCCGCACUAUGAAAAACCGAAGUGUCUGCUGCUAGUUCCAGUGUUUGCGUUGAGUGGAUUGCUACCAGGAAGCAAGUGACAUGAGCUUCUGGUAUUUUCCCUUCAGAAGCAGAGAGAGCAGGCGACAGUCUCCUGACAAACCAGCCAGGCUUUGAGAAAAACGCCUCAGAAUACAUUGACAUUAUACUACUGCUGACAGCCCAGAUGGGACAAAAAAUGAUUUUGUUUUUUGUAUCUCCUGGGAAUUUUCACAAGCAUGACUCCGCCUUUUUUUCGGGGUCCAGGAUGCAGCGCGGUCUGGAAGGUGUAGGGAUCGCAAGAGGAGGGAACAUCUGGGAGCGCUCCACGCUGAGUGUGACCUUUCAGUAGCUGUCCGAUGUGGCACCACACUGUAAACAUCAACAGCAUAUCAUCGCAUGCAAGUCACAUGCUUUGAUCUAAGGACUUUUGUUUGUUUUUGCUGAUUUACAAACAGAUUAUAUCCUGUUGAGGUAAGCGUAUGCAUCUCGGAUAAUAUAGACACACUGUAUGUGUCACCGCCUGGUUCUGUGGUCGAAAUUAUUUGAAACAUAACAAUUAUGUUGGCCUUGUUUUAAGGUUAAUGUUUCAGGUGUUCCAGGUGGCACUUGUGCAGUUUAUAUUUGCAGAGAGCUAUUAUGCUGUACAGGAUCUAUAAAGAACACAUGUAACAGAAUGCAGUACAGGUGUUUGCUUUUCAUUUGGCAAUGUUAAGCAGGUGGAGUUGCAUCUAAACCUGAUUCUGGGUGUCAGCAGCCAGAAAACAGUCCAAUCUACUGUGAGACAUCUCACAGCCUCGAUGCUGGCUAAUACAAUGCAAAUCUGUUUGAUGUAC